rnacentral:misc_RNA from 1 species
AAGCUCCAAAUUUAUACGAAAAGCUCAUGUUUUUAUUGCUUUCUACGUAUAAAGGGGAAUAUGUCCAACGGGUGAAGGGUAUAAUAUCAAAAUCCCAAUAAAAUUUAUCCAUUUUCCAUCCCAAAACAAAACCCAAUCCUCCUUAUGAGCAAUAAUCAAUCAGAAAAGCUCAAUUGCGAACCCCCAAUUAAAGUCAUAGUUCUAUAUAAAACAAAAACACUCUAAAUCAUGCAGAGUAAAUAUAACAACAAUCAAAGACGAUAGAGACGAACCUUAGAGUCA